rnacentral:rRNA from 1 species
UUUUGGUCAUUUAGAGGAAGUAAAAGUCGUAACAAGGUCUCCGUUGGUGAACCAGCGGAGGGAUCAUUACCGAGUUUACAACUCCCAAACCCCUGUGAACAUACCACUUGUUGCCUCGGCGGAUCAGCCCGCUCCCGGUAAAACGGGACGGCCCGCCAGAGGACCCCUAAACUCUGUUUCUAUAUGUAACUUCUGAGUAAAACCAUAAAUAAAUCAAAACUUUCAACAACGGAUCUCUUGGUUCUGGCAUCGAUGAAGAACGCAGCAAAAUGCGAUAAGUAAUGUGAAUUGCAGAAUUCAGUGAAUCAUCGAAUCUUUGAACGCACAUUGCGCCCGCCAGUAUUCUGGCGGGCAUGCCUGUUCGAGCGUCAUUUCAACCCUCAAGCACAGCUUGGUGUUGGGACUCGCGUUAAUUCGCGUUCCUCAAAUUGAUUGGCGGUCACGUCGAGCUUCCAUAGCGUAGUAGUAAAACCCUCGUUACUGGUAAUCGUCGCGGCCACGCCGUUAAACCCCAACUUCUGAAUGUUGACCUCGGAUCAGGUAGGAAUACCCGCUGAACUUAAGCAUAUCAAUAAGCGGAGGA